rnacentral:rRNA from 1 species
UACGUAGGGUGCGAGCGUUAAUCGGAAUUACUGGGCGUAAAGUGUGCGCAGGUGGCAAGGCAAGUCGAGUGUGAAAGCCCCGGGCUUAACUUGGGAAUUGCGCUCGAAACUACUUUGCUGGAGUGUGGCAGAGGAAGGUGGAAUUCCACGUGUAGCGGUGAAAUGCGUAGAGAUGUGGAGGAACACCAAUGGCGAAGGCAGCCUUCUGGGCCAACACUGACGCUCAUGCACGAAAGCGUGGGGAGCAAACAGG